rnacentral:rRNA from 1 species
CCUACGGGGGGCUGCAGUGUGGAAUAUUGGACAAUGGGGGGAACCCUGAUCCAGCCAUGCCGCGUGUGUGAAGAAGGCCCUCGGGUUGUAAAGCACUUUCAGUGAGGAAGAACGCCUGGUGGUUAAUACCCAUCAGGAAAGACAUCACUCACAGAAGAAGCACCGGCUAACUCCGUGCCAGCAGCCGCGGUAAUACGGAGGGUGCGAGCGUUAAUCGGAAUUACUGGGCGUAAAGCGCGCGUAGGUGGCUUGAUAAGCCGGUUGUGAAAGCCCCGGGCUCAACCUGGGAACGGCAUCCGGAACUGUCAAGCUAGAGUGCAGGAGAGGAAGGUAGAAUUCCCGGUGUAGCGGUGAAAUGCGUAGAGAUCGGGAGGAAUACCAGUGGCGAAGGCGGCCUUCUGGACUGACACUGACACUGAGGUGCGAAAGCGUGGGUAGCAAACAGGAUUAGAUACCCUAGUAGUC